GAUGAAGAACGUAGCGAAAUGCGAUAAGUAAUGUGAAUUGCAGAAUUCCGUGAAUCAUCGAAUCUUUGAACGCACAUUGCGCCCUCUGGUAUUCCGGGGGCAUGCCUGUCCGAGCGUCAUUUGCAACCCUCAAGCCCGGCUUGUGUGAUGGGUGCCGUCCCCUACGGGACGCGCCCCGAAGGCAAUGGCGGCGUCGCGGUUAUCCGAUCAGCCAAAGUGUAUGGGGCUUUGUCACUCACUUUACGGCCCGGACCGGCGCCAGUCCGAAUCAAUCUUUUUUCUAAAGUUGACCUCGGAUCAGGUAGGGAUACCCGCUGAACUUAAGCAUAUCAAUAAGCGGAGGA
rnacentral:misc_RNA from 1 species